rnacentral:tRNA from 1 species
GCCACCGUAGCUCAGUUGGUAGAGCAACGCAUUCGUAAUGCGUGGGUCGGGGGUUCAAAUCCCUCCGGUGGCU